GGAGAGGCGCGCACGAGCGGACCCCGACACGCAGGGACACGCAGCACCAGCCGAGAUACGACCGAGGCACGCACGCGCAGGCACGCACACACACACACUCCAGUCUCCCUCUCCCGGCCGAGGCUGUGCGGCCCACGCUCUCCACCCCUCUCCGACCCCCAGCCGCGGGAGCCGAGCAGGGAGGUACCAGGCUAGGCCCUCCCCAUGCCCACCACUGCCGUGACUCUGGGUGCUGGGGUCCCAGCAGCCAGGCCCAAGAGAACCCCAGGGGCUGGCGGUGGCACCAAAAAAACACGUCCAGACCGUGGUUUCGCCUUGGCCUCCGCGCUGGAGGCGGAUAGGUGUCUGGAGUAACAGGACAUGUAUCCCAGGGACUGACCAGCAGGGAUGGGAAGGACCAUGGGGUGGAACUUACAAGGACACAGUGGCUUGAAAGGGGACAGAAGACAGGAAUUCGAGAGAGACUCGAAGCACCCACGCCACCUGGGCUUCUUGGAGGAAGAGGCAUGGGAGUGGGAGAUGGUUGGUUGAGGCCCUGUCCAGUGGGACCACACUGGGCCUGUUACCCAUAUACCCUACCCAGUGAGGGGCCCAGACUCCAGGACCCAGGACACACCCCCAGCAGGACUGGAGGGUCCCACUGGUGAGACAGGAGCUCUUGAGUCUUGGGGUCUUGGUGAGGCCCAGACGAGAGGUGGCUGGUUGCAGGGGGCGUCCUGAGGGACAGUGGCUCCCAGGGCAGAUUUCCCCUGCUUGGGUGGGGCUGGGCCAGCAGUGUCCCCUGGACAGGAGAACCCUACCCCGGCCCUCCCUCGGAGUAGCCAUGGCCCUCUUCCAGGGCCUCCUCAGCUCAGAGCUGGGAGGUGGGGGACGUGGGGGGGUGUCUGCCAGGAUGUCUCCUCCUUCCCCACCCUCUCCUGGAGGAUGCGCCGCGGGAGAACGGAUGGGGCUCCACAGGCUUCCUUCCUCCCUUUCAGGCAGGUGAGACACCGCGGGGCCGUGCGGACGGCCAGCACUCGACUUUGCCUAAAAAAGGAAGCAGCAGGCUGAGGCUGAGGAGCUGGCGGCAGGAACAAGGGAGAGCUGUGUCCCCGCCGGCGCCCCCCACCCCCCCUGCCGGGGAUCUUGGCAGUGGAGGUGCUGGCUGCGCUCCACAGACCUCAGACCUCGGCUGGGACCAGAAAUGCCUGGUGCUUCCGCCUGGGCCCGGUGGGGGGACUUUGGGUCCCCAGAGUGCAAGCUGUACCACUUCGAGGGGCCUCGCCAGGCCCCCCAGCCCCCAGUACACAGGGGCUGCCGUGGAGAUGACGCUGAAGGCCGCAGCCGCUGGAGGACCUGGGGUCUGACCGGAAGCUGGCUGCAGACCCUGCGGAGGCACGUCCAGGUAGUCAGGCAGGGAGCUGGGCCGAGGGUCCCCCACCCUGGGGAGGCUCACAGCCAGUGGCCCGCUUGUCCCCCACCCUCGCCCAGCAGGCGGGCCACAGUCACACCUCAGCCAGCCUUGCAGGGCUGACGGGGAAGUUUCCCUCACUUCUGGAAAAAGUGAGCGGGUCUUCUUGGCUGUGACUCAGGCCCUCAAGGAAGCGGCCGCCCUCCUCCCUUCAGCUCGCCAUCAGCGGGAGAAGGCACAGGAGGCCUGGCCUCCACCCAGCCUGGGCCGAGCUCAGCCACCUGCCUUGCUCCCGGCUCUGCCUGGAGUCCCUCCAGCUAGGAGACCCUCCCCAUCAGCUCUCCCCGUGCCCCUCAGUCUUCAGGACUCAUUCUUGUGUCCUGCCCUCCCCCCGCUGUCUCCACCCCGGAGGAGGGACGUGGACAGAGGGUCCCAGAGAGCAUGGGGUCAGCCAGAGGUGCAGUGUCAGGGCCCGGGCCGGACUUGAGGCAGACACCGGAGGAAGCACAAAUAUAACAGCCGGAACCCUCCACUCUCCAGGGAGAAGGGCCCGGGGUAAGAGGCAGAGGCAAGGACGGGUCAGGCCAGAUCACAGUGGGUGCUGGCCCCGAGCCCUCUGCCUCCUGCAGGCACAGCCCCUGUCUGAUCCUGGUGGCCUGGGGCCCCAUGGGGUGGGGAGCAGCCUGGUUUGGCUGCGGCCACCCCGCCCCCACGGUCUGGGCCUGGGCUGUGGGAGUCCCUGUGCCUCACUUCCCGGAGCCAGCCUGCCCUGCCGGUCUGUCUGCAGGCAGGUGGAGAGAGUUCCAGGAAGCUGGGGAGGCUGCUGUCACCCGGGCACCGCCCCUGCCCCCACCCGCCUUUGGGAAUGCUCCCUCCUCCGCACAAUCCAGGCUUCUGCAGAAGAUGAAGGGCCUUUUGUCCCCAGCUGGCUGUGGUCAUGUUUGACCCUGGGUAAAAGGGCAACUCCUGAGGCCUCUGACCCCACCCCUGACCCGAGCUGAGGGCAGGACGCCCAGGCCCGCACCCGGCGCCUUUUGUUGCUGUUUUCACGUAUCUCACAAACGUACUCAAGCACACACAGGAGCAGAUGGACGGGGCGGUGAGGGGCAGCAGUGGUGAGGGGCAGCGGCGGUGAGGGGCAGCGGCGGUGAGGGGCAGCGGUGCGGGCCUGAGGCACUGCUCUGGGGUGUGCCUGAGCCCACCCCACAACAGUAAGUGGGGCAGAGCAGGGGUCACCAAGAGAGCAGGGCCCACGCAGCUCCUAGACUCAACCUGCUCACUGGGGUCAAGGACAGGUCUUGGGGGCCUCGGGGGUCACUUUUCACUUCCCAGGAGCCCAGGCCUGCCCCUCUGGCCCCAGAGCUGACCCCCCUCAGUCCCCCGUGCCAGCAGCAGCUGGGGUGGCGGGUAGACACCUGGCGGGUAGCAGCCUGGGUAGGGGUGGGAGCUGCACCAUCUGCGUCUGUCCAUCCAUCCCUCGUCUGUGUGCUGGGCACAGCCGCGCCCCAGCCUCAGUGCUGGGGACACACAGGCGCCGGGCCAGCACUGCCAGGCUAGGAGGGUGGGCGGUGAACAGCUAGGAAAGAUACGGUCUACUUGUUUUCCCUGUGAGAACAGGGGGUCACUGGGGACUCGCACGCAAGGGGUACCCGAGGAAGAGCCUUCCAGGCAGAGAGAAGGAACCGCGAGUGCUGAGAGCAGGGUGGGGUGGGCAGGAGGGGCCUGCGCCAGGACUGCAGGGGCAGAGCAGGCUGGGGGCCUUCGGGAGGGGUGGCCGGGUGGAGGGUGUUGCCGGCCUCGACAGGGGCAGGAGGUUCGUCACAGCGAGGACAGAGCCCGGCCCGGUGGGAGCCGGAGAGCAGCAGGCCUGAAUGACCCAGGGUUUCCUAAUAGCAGGGCCCCUUCCUUGUGUGGGUCCCCUCACUUUGCCUCUCUGCUGGGACAUCCUUCCCUGAAAGGGAGAGGAGGACCACAUGCUGCCCCUUCCCCAGACACAGUCCAGACAGGCCCAGGCCACAGCCCUGGGCAGACGCAAAACUCCCAGGGGCCUGGACUGGGAUAGGGAGGAGGCAGCAGGGAGGGACUGACCUAUGUCCACACACCACAAGGGACUCCCAGAGGCGGGUGGGGCGGAGCUGGGAGCAGGGGCCUUAGCCCUCAGACCAGCCCACUCACCCUGGGGAGUUCCUGCCCCACAGCCUGCCCAGCUUACAGGCCUGGGGGCAGGGGCAGGCCAGCACAGGCCGGAGGGACAGAGGGAGCCACAUCUGAGGGGUCCCCCAGCUGCUCACACCGUCUGAGGCUGUGCUUGCCAACAACUCUGCUCCCAGGAAAUAUUUUGCAAAUCAGGAAAUGACACCGGGCAAGGCCUCUGCUCUCCGGGGCUACGGCCUCCCACAGGCACGUUCCUACAUCCCUCUGUGAACCGCCCACAGGCCCCCCCACAGGUGUUCCUCUGUGAGCUGGUCGGGCGGCCGGGGCCGGGGCCGGGCUUCGCUGCUCCGUGCCUUCCACCUCCCUGGCGGUGCGGGGCCUCAGGGUGGGCCUGGGAAGCUGGAAACACCUUUGGAAACAGCCGCCUGAGGCAGCUGUGGACAGAAGACCCUGCCCAGCAGCCAAGGGAGCUGGCCUCUCCGCUCAGCCUCCCCACCCCCACCAGGCCCAGCUGUUGUUUUCACGGCUCCGGGACCAGGCGGAUCCUCAGCCAAGAGCUUCCCAGGAGAGCCCUCAUCUUCAACCCCUAGUGGCGACCAGAGCCAGCCCGGGCAGGAGGGGAAGGAAGGCGGCCGCGGCCCCGGGGAAGCCAUCCUGGCAGCUUGGCCACUGGCCCGGCUCCUGUCUGACCAGGAAAGGCAUCAAAGCCGGACUCGGAUGGAGGCUGGAAAACCCCGAGACUUCUGCUGGACUCGACCCAGCCACACACCAGGCUGUGCUCAAGGCCACGGAAUGAGCCUUGACCCUGGCCCCAGACGGAGCCCAGACCUUGCUGGUCACAGGCUGAGCCCUGCUGGCAAUAUGAUGUACUAGAUCCCUUAAAAGGCCUUCCAGCAACAACCAACUUCUGGAUGAAUUACUAUGAGCGUACAUUUUUAAUAGACUGUUGUGUUUCCAAGAAAGUAAAUAUCUCCGAGUCUCCCCCAAAAUUAAACAGCAAAAAUAAAUAAGGCCAGGUGGGGUGGCUCAUGCCUGUAAUCCCAACACUUUAGGAGGCUGAGGCGAGAGGAUUGCUUGUGCCUAGGAGUUCGAGACCAGCCUGGGCAACAUGAUGAGACCCCGUCUCUACAAAAAAAUUUAAAAUUAGCUGGGUGUGGUGGUGCACUCUAGUCACAGCUACUUGGGAGGCUGAGGCAGGAGGAUCACUUGAGCCUGGGAGGGCGAGGCUGCAGAGAGCUAGGAGCUCACCACUGCACUCAGACUGGGCGGCAGAGCAAGACUCUGUCUCUAAGUAAACAAACAGACAGAGUAGUGUGGAGGCCUGGAUGAUGAAGGGAAGUGGUUGGGAAAGCAGAUAACUCCCUGGACACACACAGGGACAGAGAGCCAGCCUGCGGCCAGGGAACAAGUAUGUUUCUCUGCCUAGGGGCUGCUUAAACCAGGGGUCUCAAGGGUCACUGAGGGGGCCGAGGGUGGUCUCGCCUGGAAAAGGGGAAUAGUCUCUGGAGGGAAGCAUCCCCAAGUUGGACCUCAGAAUUGUCUCCGAUAACAGCUGACAAUUAAACAACCAAACGUUCAGAGAAACACCAUGCUACUGAUGAGAAUCGGCAGAAACACCAGUCACAGAUUUAGACCCCCAAAGACUAGGACACUGGAAUUAUUUAGUACAGAAUAUAAAAUAACUAUAUAUGAAAUAUGUUUAAGAAGUGGAAACUGUAAUCUAAAAAGCAAGCAUGUAUCAAGAGACCAUAAAAAAAAUCAGACAAAUCUAAAACACAAUCAGAUGUAACUUUUAGAUAUGCUAACCUUUUUUUUUUUUUGAGAUGGAGUUUCACUUUGUCACCCAGGCUGGAGUGCAGUGGCACCCUCUCAGCUCACUCCAACCUCUGCCUCCAGUGUUCAAAUGAUUCUUGUGCCUCAGCCUCCUGAGUAGCUGGGACUACAGGUGUGCACCACCAUGGCCAGCUAAUUUUUUUUGUUGUUUUUUUGUUUGUUUUUAAGAUGGAGUCUUGCUCUUGUUGUCCAGGCUGGAGUGCAAUGGCAUGAUUUCGGCUCACUGCAAUCUCUGCCUCCUGGGUUCAAGCGAUCCUCCUGCCUCAGCCUCCCAAGUAGCUGAGGUUAUAGGUGCCCACCACCACGCCCAGCUAAUUUUUUUUUUUUUUUUUUUUGAGACGGAGCCUCGCUCUUUCGCCCAAGCUAGAGUGCAGUGGCGUGAUCUUGGCUCACUGCAAGCUUUGCCUCCCAGGUUCACGCCAUUCUCCUGCCUCAGCCUCCCGAGUAGCUGGUACUACAGGUGCCCGCCACCAAGCCCAGCUAAUUUCUGUAUUUUUUAGUAGAGACGGGGUUUCACCGUGUUAGCCAGGAUGAUCUGGAUCUCCUGAGCUGGUGAUCCGCCCUCCUCGGCUUCCCAAAGUGCUGGGAUUACAGGCGUGAGCCACCGUGCCUGGCCUGGAUAUGUUAACAUAAUAAUUUAAGAUAAAAUGAAUGAGUUAAUCAGCAGAUUAGACGGAAGGGAGUAAUUUGAUGAGGGGGUAAAAGAAAAUGGUGAGGAUAUGGAGAAGGAAUUCGUGGUGAAACUGGACACAAUUGUUGAGGGAUUUCCAGAGCUGAUGAACGUUGUGGACCUGUGGCUUACACCAAACAGGGUGGGUGUGAGCUCGGCACAGCUAGGACGCGCUGGUGAGACCAAGGAACACCAAAGUCAGUGAGGAGAUCUUAGUGUCUCCCGGAGAGAGCCGACCGAGGCUGGCGCAUGUCUGAAUGCGAGCCUGGCCAUAGGCUGAGCCCGGCUGCCGCCACCCCUGGGCUUCUGGAACCCUGGGCUUGGCCGAGCGUGGGUGUCUCCCCUGGGAGCCCCAGAGCCCUGGACGAUGGAGGCCGGGACCUGGGCAGGCGCGGGAGGCCUUGGGCUGGGGCCUGCGCCCCUCCUCUGAGGGCUGCCUGCCGGGCUCUGCCCUGCCCUGCCCUUCCCUCCCCUCUCUUCCCCUCCCCUCUCCUCUCUUUCCCUCACCUCCCCUCUCUUUGCCUCCCC
rnacentral:lncRNA from 1 species